AAGUUUAGGUUAAGCAGACCAAGGGCCUUCAAAGCCCUAAGUAAGUAAAUUAUACUUAACUUCUGCU
rnacentral:tRNA from 1 species